GACGAACGCUGGCGGCGUGCUUAACACAUGCAAGUCGAACGGAAAGGCCCUGCUUUUGUGGGGUGCUCGAGUGGCGAACGGGUGAGUAACACGUGAGUAACCUGCCCUUGACUUUGGGAUAACUUCAGGAAACUGGGGCUAAUACCGGAUAGGAGCUCCUGCUGCAUGGUGGGGGUUGGAAAGUUUCGGCGGGUGGGGAUGGACUCGCGGCUUAUCAGCUUGUUGGUGGGGUAGUGGCUUACCAAGGCUUUGACGGGUAGCCGGCCUGGGAGGGUGACCGGCCACAUUGGGACUGAGAUACGGCCCAGACUCCAACGGGAGGCAGCAGUGGGGAAUAUUGCACAAUGGGCGGAAGCCUGAUGCAGCAACGCCGCGUGCGGGAUGACGGCCUUCGGGUUGUAAACCGCUUUCGCCUGUGACGAAGCGUGAGUGACGGUAAUGGGUAAAGAAGCACCGGCUAACUACGUG
rnacentral:rRNA from 1 species